rnacentral:rRNA from 1 species
GUGGGGAAUAUUGCACAAUGGGGGAAACCCUGAUGCAGCGACGCCGCGUGAGUGAAGAAGUAUUUCGGUACGUAAAGCUCUAUCAGCAAGGAAGAAAAUGACGGUACUUGACUAAGAAGCCCCGGCUAACUACGUGCCAGCAGCCGCGGUAAUACGUAGGUGGCGAGCGUUAUCCGGAUUUAUUGGGUGUAAAGGGCGUGUAGGCGGGACAGCAAGUCAGAUGUGAAAACCAGAGGCUCAACCUCUGGCCUGCAUUUGAAACUGUUGUUCUUGAGUGUCGGAGAGGUAAUCGGAAUUCCGUGUGUAGCGGUGAAAUGCGUAGAUAUACGGAGGAACACCAGUGGCGAAGGCGGAUUACUGGACGAUAACUGACGCUGAGGCGCGAAAGCGUGGGGAGCAAACAGGAUUAGAUACCCUUGUAGUCC